UACGAGUGCCCCAAGCGUUAUCCGGAAUUACUGGGCGUAAAGGAUGUGUAGGCGGCUUCAUUAGUCUUUUGUUAAAGCCUCGGGCUUAACCUGAGAAAUGCAAAAGAAACGGUGAAGCUAAGAGAGUGUGAGAGGCCUGUGGAACUCAUGGUGUAGGGGUGAAAUCCGUUGAUAUCAUGGGGAACACCAAAAGCGAAGGCAGCAGGCUGGCACAUAUCUGACGCUGAGACAUGAAAGCGUGGGUAGCGAACGGG
rnacentral:rRNA from 1 species